rnacentral:lncRNA from 1 species
CCUGAAAAAGGCGGCCAUACCGAGGGACCCAUCAUAUUUUCAAAGCAGGGAUCUGUCGUGUUUGACGAAAGUGGACUUCUGAAUUUUUUUACUUUCCGUUCCCUUUCGCCACUUCGGCGCCCUCUUCGCCCUUCCUUAGGUCUUUACUUUCCCUCUGUUCUAUUUCUGUCUCGGUCAUCUUCAUCGUCGAGGAUUUGGCACAAAAAUCGUACGACGCAGAGGCUCGGGAGCUGUUGCUUCGUUGUCCUUUUGUUCUUCAUCUGAUUCCAUUUGCCUUUCUGCAACUAGCCAAGAUGAGCUUUGAAGCUAUUCAUAUUAAUAUAGCAUUUAGAUGAAUUCUAGCGUUUCAGAAAUAGAUUUCUGACUAUUUGGGAAAAUAGUUGUUUAUUGUCUCAGAUAUUGAUUGCUUGUUCAAGCUACCGUUGAUUGGAGACUCAAAAGUACGAAGAAUAGUCUGUUGCUCGCUGUGCUUCAGUUGGCUUUGAAGAUCUUUCUUCUACCACUGGUAAAUUUUGCCUCUCCUGCCGUAAACUUUUGUUGCUAAGUGUUAAAUCUCAAACAUUAUCGUGUUGGAUAAGAUGAAUUUUUACCAUUUGAUUCAAGCUAGCAAAGGCUGCUCAAAUUGGUUCAUUUAAGAUGGUUUAUGCUUGAGUCUGCCAUAAAUCAGAGAGUUCCUUUGUGAAGUUUGCUAGAAAUUUUGUAUUUCCACAUGUUCAAUCAAAAUUCAUUUGAAUAUCAUCACAAGGCAAUACCUUCUUUGGGAAAUUAAAUCAUCACAAAGGAUUGGACUAAAAAUAUUUAAUAAUAUUACUAAGGAAAUAUGCGCACUGGCUAAAUCUUGGGCGGAAAUUCGCUAUUUUGCAGGCAUUGCUUUGUCUUUUUUUGCUCCUACAAUGAUCAUAAAAAAAUUAAUGAAAUACUGGUGUCAAUAAUACGAUCAUGUGGUUGAGCCCGAUAUUGAAACAUGGACGAAUACUCUGUGAAUCAUAUGGUAAGAAGGAAUCCGGUGUCAUUGGAAUGAGUCUUGUGGUGAAUCAACACUAACAAUGAAACUAAGUUAAGCUCUUGCUGGAUCAAAUUUUGCUAUAUUUUUUCAAGUGUGAUGAUGAAGCAAUAAGAUGGCUACAUUAGAAAUUUUAUAUAUCCAGCACUUUGUUUAAUCUAAAACUGUAGUCUCCUGAUAUGGAAUUUGAUAAUCAUCUGCUAAACGUCCUAUAAAGAUUAUACUAGAUUACCUGUGUUUAAAGUUCUGGUUUAAUUAUAUGCUAAAUAAGAUAGUAGUAUGGUAGUAAAAGUUUUUUGCUGAUCAGAUUACAGCUAGGACAGGAACAAAUUUUGUCCUGUCCUACUACAUGUUCAAAUAAAUGGAUCUACCCCUUUUUAGGGUAUAUGCUUACUGAAAAAUAAUGAGAAACAGAACAAUGGCUCUAAAGGUUUAUGAAAAAAUGUCACAUCUAACAUCAGGUUGGAAAUGCGGAAAGUAGUUGUCAUACUAAAGCAAAAAGGUCCCCGAGGGUACCAACUAUGGUCCAAUGAGUAAUUAUUGUCUACUGAAGCUUCAGGUGUUAGCGUUACCGCACCUGAAAUAACAUUGAUGUGUGAACUCAUUAAGACCAAGGAAUAUGCUUCAGGAAACAAAGAAAAAAUUCCAGUUCUCACAAUCUUGAAUUAGAUGAGUUAUAUGACUAUGUCAAUUCCAGUCUCCAAGAUGUUGAUUCAGGAAAAAGUAGGAAGCAGUUAAAAUCACGCAAGAUGGUAAGAAAGAAAGGAAGGAAAUUCCAGCUUGAGUCAAAAAAAGAGGUUCGAGCUUAAAAACUUUUAGUCAAACAUAGAUUGAGCUCUAGAUUUGAUUUUGCCAAAUAAGAACUUACAGAGAAGUUGCAGGUAGACAAAUGGGGGGAAUUGAAACUUUAUAAUAUGAAAUUUAAAUGCAUUAAAAAUGAUGUCGGAAGACGAAAAGUUGUUGAAAGAGGCAAAGAAAAUGCCCUGGUACGAGUGGUAAACACACAAAAAUUAAAAGGUUUGAAAUGACGGUUUACUUUAGUUACGAUGUCACUUUUGUUUGCUUUAUUUACGAUCUUCUUUGUAGCUAUCUGCAUGCUUUGUGUAUGUAGUGUGUUUGUAUUUAUUUUUAGAUUUUUUUAAAAAAAAUUCUUAGGGCCAUUUUUAGGAAGAAUGUAGCGGAUUCAAAUGUGCAGCAUAAUGCUUUUGACGCUUCAAUUAUUUACUUGAAAGCUGCUAAUGCUGAUGCUGAGAGGUAGAGCUUUACUUAAUUAAUUUUACUUUUAGUUUACUUGAUUUGAUUUUAUUGUGGGUGUUAGUUUAAUUUGAUGUGUUUUCUUAUGAGGUAUGUAAAUGUACGAAGAAUGUGAUGCAAUAGUCGCUAAAUGCUUGACAGGGAGGCCAAAGACAUUGGAGAAUGCGAGAAGGUGCAGAUGGUAUUUCUGCUUUAGGUAGAGUUGGAGGCUGUUGAGCUGUUUUUGAUAUGUGUUAAAUCAAAAAUGCCAUCCAUUUCCGAAAUGCUUACAGUACUUGUUAGCUACUCCUAUUUAGCUGGUCACUCUGAGUACGAAUCGAACCUUUUCAGGCUAGAUCACUAUGGAAGUAUAAGUUUUGGCCAUUUAAAAAUUUAGGGAGCGUUCCAAUUCAAUAAAAAUUCUAAGGCUACUUUCUUUUUUCUUUUAAAUUUUGUUAUUGUUUCCUUCCUGCAACAUGAAUGUUGUUGUUUUGUAAACUAUAAGAGCUUAUUUGACUUACAUUCCAUGACAAACAUCACUUUUUAUUUACCUAGCUGAAGAACUAUUGGUAAUAUAUAUGAACCACUUUGGCUAAGAGUUAUCUGUCAUUCUAUUAUAUUUUGUGUUAUUUAUUGUUAGAAAACUAAAACAUAUAAUCAUUUUGAAGUACAAAAAGUGGAUUGAGCUAUUCGAGGACUAUUACUAUUGACUCAAGGUUGUCGGACUAUAGCAUAUUUUGUGGUUAACAAAGAGAGUUGGAAGACUUCCAUACAGUAAAAGUAAGAUAACAAGACAAAUAGCAUGUAAUGUUGUACCAUUAGCUUUUCUGUGGAUCGUACGCAGGGAAAAAAAUAGGAGAGAGUUUGAGGGUGUUGGAGAUAAUUUUGCACAUUUGAGGAAUAGUUUAUUGUCUUUGAUUGCUUUUUCGUGCACUCGUAAUUUUCCUAUUCGUAUUGAUGACUGGGUGUCUUUGGUAAAAAUUAAAGAAUCAUAUUUUGAUAUAGAUUCUCUACUUUGUUGUGUACCUCUUCUAAAGUUAAUGGGAAAAGAAAAAGAGAAGCUUUAGAAUGGGAAGAUAAAAAAUCUAUGAGAAUCUAACAUUGGUGUUGAUUAAUUGAAAUACUACCUCUUUUUAUCAUUGGCUAAUUAUGAUGAGUGUCUUAGGGUUUAGGGUGAAGUUGUGGAGCUGAGCUGUCUUUUUUGUCAUAUCUGUUCCUUCUUCCACCUUUGAGUUGGGAAUUUAAACUACAACUGUGGAGAGGGUUUUAUUAGUUUUUACUUUUAUAUUUUUACUUCAUCAAAAAUUUUGGAGGUUGACAGUACCAAUGGAACUCCCUUAUUCCCACUCUGAUUAUCUGUGGAAACCAUUACAUCACUUUUUCUUUUUAACAGUUUACCUUGAUGAGAAACUUCUAAGCCAUCAUCCUAGAAAACUAAAUAGUACCUUACCAAACCCAAAAGAAGUAGAAUAAUGAAGGCUCUCGAUACUCCAUGACUGAAGAAAAAUUAAAAGUGAGGUUGGACAUGUAUAAUAUAUGCUGAAACUUCCUUCUCUUCUGUUACCAAGUUGAGAGCGGAUAUUUUUUCUUACGAUUACUGUUCAAGUGGUUGAAUAAAAUCCAGGAAUUAUAGCAAUACAUUACCAAAAAUAAAGCUCCUUGAAUAUGGUCUGCUUAGUCCAUUGUCUUUCUUUUUAUUUGAAUCACAUAGCAUACCAAGAAAUAUUUUCUUCCGAAUGUGGCUUUACAUGUGUUAUGUACUGUUCUUUCUUUUUCUAAGUUCUAUACCAUUUUGUUGCCAUUCUUCCAUCUAGGUAAUCGUUUUUUCCUUGUUUUACAUCUAUUUUCAUGUGUUUUCAUUCAGUGUACUUAGAUUUUCGGUUCAAAAAGGUUUUCUUGCCGGAGGAUAAAUUUGAAUUUCUGUUUGUUUCAACUGGAGCUACACUUUCUGUUUGUGAUUUAGACAUAGCUUCCGUUGAUAUAAUUAGAAUCUCUUAUUUUUGAUGAUGUGGUUUGUGCAGGAACUCUACCGAGCAGAGAGCUUCUAAUGUACAGAAGGUCAGCUGAGAAAUUAGUCAAUGCCUUUUGACAUGUUUAGUCGAUAUAUUCUGUCUUGUACUGACUCUCACAUAGCAAAAAAUGCUCUUCUUGGUUGUUUUGAAGUGUCCAGAUUGUACUAAUUCUUUUGAGAGAAAUAAUAAUAGAGUUAACCAUACUUUUUGUUAUACAUCUUUUCACUGGUUAGGUUGCAGCAUAGUUGAAGCUUUUAAAAUUAUCUUUAAUGGCCAAUCAUUUAUACAUUGUAUAUGCAUUAUGUUGCGUGCAUUAUAGUUUUUGAAGCUCAAUUUUCUUGGUUUUUCUAGUGGAGUGGUUAGGAGGCAUUAAUUAUAUACUGAAGUUCUCUCUCCAUUGUAGAAUUUCUAAAAUAUGUCGUGUAUUUAUGUUCUUAUUACUUUUAUAUAUGUAAUCGCAGUUAUAUCCUAUUUUUAGGUUCCUCUCUAACUACUCAAACUUCUAUUAUGAGUUCGGGCUCGUUCUUAGCAUGGGCUAGCCCUACUAUUUAGAAGCGGGAGUUGCAGCUCUUCGUUGUCCUACUUCCGGAGUUACGAUAAACUCCCUUUUCUACAUUAAAAACCAGGAGUAUUUUAGUCUUUAUGUUAUGUGUAAAUUUUUUCCUUUCCCUUCGCGCUCUGUUUCUCUCUCUUGCAUACGCCCCCUUCCCCUGUCUCCUCUGACGUGGAAGAUAAACUAGUUCUUUGCUUUUGGUGCUGUGAGGUGUUUUCCUAGCUCUCCAACACCUGCUUUCGGUGGGUUUCUGCUAUAUACUUGUCCCUUGAAGUAUGUUUACUUUGGUGCCCUUGCUUUUGCAUAUUUGAAAACCCCAUGUUUCGCUUCGGUUUUUCUCUUUGUUUUUCUGUAGCUGGGCUUUUGUGCUAUCUUUACACUCGAUGGCUGAACAGUGAGUACUCUGCUCUUCGUCUUUUAUCUCCUUUUUUAGAUUUGCGUACCUGCAUUAAUGAACUAUAGCUGGCUUGGCAACUUUUAAAUUACUAAUGGUUUUUAUAUGAACUAAUUUACUGUUACAGCUUUAUUUGGAGCUACAUCAAAUUUUUUCUUCCCUUGUUACUCAAUUAUGUAGCUCUCCACUUUUGUUUUCCCACGUAAAAUUCCAUAUUGAUUGGUUAAUGUUGCUUGUUAAUUGGUAUUCUUUAUCAUUGAGUGUUCAAUUCUGAAUUUGCUUUCUCUUGCUUUAAUUCUUCUGUCUUCUAAAUUUUCUGUUUGGAACUGCUUUUGCCCAAAUUCUUUGGCGUGUUAAUGGAUAAUAAAGUUUUACAGAUGGAUAAUGUUUGCUAAUUGUGUCUUUUAUUAUUGGGUGUUCAAUUAUGAAUUUGCUUUCUUUAUGCUUAAUUUUUAGGAUUCUUCUAAAUUUUCCAUUUGAACUGUUUUUUGCCCUCUUCUUGAUUAUUGUCCCGCUUAUGUUAUUGAGUUUCUUUUGUUCUUGUUCUUUGAUGAUCGUGUUAUUACAGCAGUAAGCAAGAACAAUUUGUUCUUUUUUUAUUGAGUUGUUGUUUUGAUGGUUCUCCAAUUAUGUAUAUACAACAAUUAGAAAAAAAAGAACUAAGUGUGAUGAAUACGACAUCCAAAUAGAGAUUUUAUGGGUCUUUUUCAAGUCAAGACGUUGCCAACUCAUCACGGUGAGAAUCUAUGAAGGGUAAAUAGAUAUAAAUAAGAUGAGAAUGACCUUCAUAAUAAGGAAUCUAAAAUUCGGGUCAAAUAAAUUCAGCAAAGAAGAGAAUCAAUGGGUGGAGGUAGCAGAAAAUAGAAGGACAACAGGGGAACAAUCACAUAUUUUCUUCUUGUAAUAUAUAAAUAGAAAACAAAUGUAGGACGUAUGUACCUUGUUUUGUGCCUUUUUUGUUUGUAGGAUGAUCCAUGCAUAUGCGUUAGGAAAGGUAUACUAUGAAGCUUCCUACUUGGACAUGUACAUGUACCCUCGAUUUAACGAUUAUAGUAAUCAUUAUCCCCUCCUAGGAUACUCGGGGAACAAAGGUAAUCAAAUUACAACCUGACUUUCUCCGUCUCUAUCUCUUUCAAGAAUAAUAAUUGCAUUAUUGCAAGUUUCAUAAGUGCUUCUUUGACAAGAUAGUAUCUUCUUUACCUGAGUUGUCGGACCUUUAAACUAACUGAAUUUAUGAUUGUCAUGCAAGGCUUACUAUAAAGACUUUUUAUAAGUACCUCACAAGUAAAACUUUUUGACAAGUGCCUCGGCAAUAAACUUUAAUUGCCUAAAAUAUUAUAUUAAUUCAAAUAGGUCAUGUAAUGUGCACGUUGAGACAAAAUCUCUGUUAUAAUAAUACACAUCUUUUGAUUCACCACAGUGAUACAAUACUUUUUCUAAGUUUUUUUUAACAUACACAAAAUAAACUUAUAGUCCCCGUGAUUCUAUUUUGUUGACUUGUUAAAUUGCAACAACAAAAAACCUAUCCCUUUCUCUCAUUUUUUUUUGCAUUUAUCAUUCUAGAUUUAGCUUUAUGCUAUGUUUUGAUUUUAAUGCUUGGUUUUCUUUUCUUUCAGUAAAUACCAAGAUGAAGGUAUGUGUUGCCAACUAUAGUUGUUAAACUCCAGAUUCUAUCCAAUUGUAGGAUCAAUUUUUUCAUAGCUGGACCACCAACAUGAACAUUAAUAAGCUGAUUGUUUUUGUCUUUCUCAUUCUCAUAAAAGUAGGCUCAAGAAUGUAAUUGUACAACUUUGUUUUGCAAAUGAAUGUACAUUAUUUGAAGCAUAUUAUGUUAAUAUUUAGUCGAUUUGAUGGUAUUGCUUCCUUUUUU